rnacentral:tRNA from 1 species
UGGCACAGUGGUUAAGUGCUCAGCUGCUAACUGAAAGGUUGGUGGUUCAAAUCCACC